CCCAAUGAUGCCCGGGUCACUAUCGAGAUGAACCAAUACAGGUACACCGAUGUCCCGAUCACCACCCUCCACCUGUCCCAACUUACCAAAGAGGAUUUGGCCGAAGCCAUCCGACAAUACCAGGAUCGCCGGGAAAGCAACCGCAGACUCGAGGACAUCGAUGAGUCUGAGGACUCCGGGAACAGCCGUCAAUCCCGGGGUUCCGUCUUCGACCGGAUCGGGGACAAAGCAAAGAAAAAGAAACAGAA
rnacentral:lncRNA from 1 species